rnacentral:snRNA from 1 species
CGAACCGGGAAGAGCCCA